GUUCAAACAGUAUGGUGCAAGUUGGAAAAAAAAAACCUUAACACACGGGAAAAGUUACGGAAUUUGCUUGAAAAAUACAAACAUUGAAAAAAAGAUAUUAAGAUAAAAGGACAAUUUUUUUAAAGCAAAUAGUUAUUACUUAAUGGCUUCCAUAAAUUGUUUAUAAACAUAAAAGAAUUAAAAAUUUAUUACUUUUGCAACAUAAAAAAAGAAAAUAAUAAAAUUAUACCACGAAACCCAUUUAAAAUUUCAAAUAUUUUAAGAAAUACACAAAAAAAGUUAUUUAAUUAAUAAAUUGUGAAAAUAAUAAAAAGAUGCAGAAAAAAAAUUAGAUAAUUGUGUCCAUAAACUUGUGGUUAAAACAUAGAAUGUGAAAGAAACAAAUUCUAAAAUUUCAUGAAAAAUUAUUAGAAAAAUUAGUUUUAUUUUUUUUCUUUCUGCAAACAUUUUAAAAUUUUCCUUUUUACUGCUUGCUACUUGCUGCUGUUGUUUGUUGCCCACAUAUUUUUGGCACAUGCGUGUAUCUACAACAAUUGACUACAACAACCACAAUAACAACAACAAAAGCAACAAGACCAAAUAGUAAAAAACAUUAACGUAUAAAUUGGAUUAUAAUAGCAACGACAACAACAAAAACACAACAAUUACUGCAACAACAAUUCAACAAAACAAAAAAAAAAAACAAUAUCAACAACAUUUAAACGAGAUUUAAAUAAUAAAUUUUAAUUCACUGCUGGAGAAGAUAACACGAGCAACACAGAAACGGCCACUAAAAAUAAAAUCUGCUACUUUUAGAAAAAUAAAAAAAAUUAAUACAAGAUAUAUUUGUUCGGAGGGUGAAGAGGUGAAAAGGCUGCAAAUAUGAACAACAUGUUGUUGAUUUAAGCAAAAUUUUUAAAUGCAAAUACAACAUUUUAAAAUCAUUCUAAUAAAAUCAAUACGCUAAACACACGCUGAUCAUCAUUUAGUCUAUUUAAAAUAGAAAGAGAUGUUGAUUAAGGAGUAUCACAUCCCACUGCCGCUCACGGUGGAGGAGUAUCGUAUAGCCCAGCUGUAUAUGAUAGCGAAAAAGAGUCGUGAAGAAAGUCAUGGCGAAGGCAGUGGUGUUGAAAUCAUUAUAAAUGAACCCUACGAUGAUGGGCCAGGUGGCAAAGGACAGUACACCAAAAAGAUCUAUCAUGUUGGCAGUCAUUUGCCAGGCUGGAUUAAAAGUCUGCUGCCUAAAAGUGCUUUAACAGUGGAAGAAGAAGCCUGGAAUGCUUAUCCCUAUACUCGUACACGUUACACCUGUCCAUUUGUGGAAAAAUUCUCCUUAGAUAUAGAAACAUAUUAUUUCCCUGAUAAUGGCUAUCAGGAUAAUGUCUUUAAAUUAACCGGUAGCGAACUAAGAAAUAGGGAAAUUGACUGCAUUGAUAUUGUCAAGGAUCAAUUGUUUGGCGGUGAUUAUGUCAAAGAAGAGGAUCCUAAAUUAUAUGUGUCCGAAAAAACCGGCAGAGGCCCUUUGGGCGAAGACUGGCUGGAGGAGUAUUGGCGUGAAGUUAAGGGCAAAAAACAACCCACAUCUCGUAAUAUGUCCUUGAUGUGUGCCUAUAAAAUUUGUCGUGUAGAAUUUCGCUACUGGGGCAUGCAAACUAAAUUGGAAAAAUUCAUACACGAUGUAGCUUUAAGAAAAACAAUGUUAAGAGCCCAUCGUCAAGCCUGGGCCUGGCAAGAUGAAUGGCAUGGUCUAACCAUUGAAGAUAUUAGAGAAAUUGAAAGACAAACCCAAGCCGCAUUGGCGCGUAAAAUGGGUGGUGGUGAUUUAAGUGGUGAAGAAGAGGAGGAGGAAGAAAGCAUUUCUGAAGGUCAUUUGGAAUCACAUUCUGCCGAUACUGAGGAACGUGUGAUUAAAGAACCUCCCGUUGUUACAGAGCAACCACCCAGUGAGGAAGUUUCUUCGGAUGAUGAAGAAGUACCCGAACAAAAUAAUUCCAGCGAAAGAUCUCGUUCUCAAAGUAUACAAAUGAUUAAAUCAAAAUCUGGCUCCAAACCGGGCGGUCUACACUCACCUUUAGGAUCUGCGCAUAGUUUUGAGUUACAGCAGCAUGCCAAAAAUGCUAAGCGUAAAAACGUGGCUAAUUGGCGUAUGGAACGUUUGGAAGUUGAUUCAAAAUCGAAUUCGGAAGAAGAAUUUUUCGAUUGUGUGGAGGAAAUUCCAAUUUCAGAUACAAAUGACAGCAAUUCUUUGGCGAAAUGGAGUUCUUUGGAAUUGUUGGGUGAACCAGAUGAUAGUCCGCCGCCACAUAGUAGUGGUCAAGGUAAGAGUAAACAGGAGGAUAGUAUAUUCAAUCAAGAUUUUCUAAUGCGUGUGGCCUCGGAGAGAGGUACUAGAAGACAAUUGCGUUCAUCGCAAAGCGUGGAAAGAGGUCAUGAUAUAUCACCGCCUGGUUCGCCGGGCACACCAUCUUGUUCCACCACCAUUUUGAUAUUGGUAGUACAUGCUGGAAGUGUAUUGGAUGCUACCAGUGAAUUGACUUCCAAAAAAUCUGAUGUCACCACAUUUCGUGGUUCUUUUGAGUCUGUUAUGCGUCAACAUUAUCCGAGCCUAUUGACCCAUGUUACCAUUAAAAUGGUACCAUGUCCAUCCAUUUGUACCGAUGCUCUGGGCAUUUUGUCUAGCUUAAGUCCAUAUUCAUUUGAUUCUUCACCCUCAGCUGAUAUACCCAAUAUAGCGGAUGUUCCUAUUGGCGCCAUUCCAUUGCUGGCGGUCUCAUCACCAGAAUUUCAGGACACUGUCAAUAAAACCGUACAGGCAGCUAAUAUUGUUUACCAUGAAUUUCUUAAAUCAGAGGAAGGUCAUGGUUUCUCUGGACAAAUUGUAAUGUUGGGAGAUUCUAUGGGUUCUCUGUUGGCUUAUGAGGCAUUGUGUCGUACUAAUGGCAACGAUGGUACCAGUCGUUCUUCACGCAACACGGAUGAUGAUGAACGUUUUGAUGAUUCCGAAUUGGAUGCUAAACGUUUAUUGGUGGCACCCUCACCGCGCCGAAGACGUUCUUCUUCCUCAAGUGAUUCGAAACAUGCGAAAUUAGACUUUGAAGUGGGUGACUUUUUUAUGUUUGGUUCCCCACUAUCUAUAGUAUUGGCAGCUAAAAAAUUACAUGAUUCUAAAACUGCUCUACAACGUCCCAACUGUAAUCAGGUUUAUAAUAUGUUCCAUCCUACCGAUCCAACGGCUUCCCGUUUAGAACCUUUACUAAGUGCCAGAUUUUCCAUGCUGGCUCCCGUUAAUGUACCCCGUUAUGCCAAAUAUCCACUGGGGAAUGGUCAGCCAUUGCAUUUAUUGGAGGUUAUUCAAUCAAAUCCCCAACAUUUUAAUGACUCCAACAACAUUAUGUGCGGUCGUCGUUUAUCAGAUGCUUCCAUGCAAAGUACAGUAUCCGGUCUUAUAGAAAAUGUAUCAUUAAGUACCAUUAAUUCAUUACAAAUGAAAUGGUGGGGUACAAAACGUUUAGAUUAUGCCAUGUAUUGCCCAGAAGGUUUAAGUAACUUUCCAGCCAAUGCUUUGCCACAUUUAUUCCAUGCCAGCUACUGGGAAAGUGCUGAUGUUAUAGCAUUUAUAUUAAGACAAAUUGGUAAAUUUGAAGGCAUUCCAUAUGUUACAUCCAUGGACAACAAAGAAACUGUCCACUUUAAUCCCGGCCAACCGAGAGAAAAAUGGAUACGCAAACGUACCUCGGUGAAAUUGAAAAAUGUGGCCGCCAAUCAUCGUGCCAAUGAUGUGAUAGUUUUAGAGGGACGUGAGCAACGUCUGAAUGCUCGUUUUAUGUAUGGUCCUUUGGAUAUGAUCACUCUACAUGGCGAAAAAGUUGAUAUACACAUAAUGAAAGAUCCACCCGCUGGCGAGUGGAGUUUUCUUAGUACAGAGGUUACCGAUAAAACUGGUCGGAUUUCCUACAGCAUACCCGAACAUGUAGCAUUCGGUUAUGGCAUUUAUCCCAUUAAAAUGGUAGUGAGAGGUGAUCACACUUCAGUGGACUGUUAUUUAGCGGUGGUGCCACCUUUAACGGAAUGUGUAGUCUUUAGUAUAGAUGGCUCAUUUACCGCCUCGAUGUCGGUGACCGGACGUGAUCCUAAAGUAAGAGCUGGGGCGGUAGAUGUUUGCCGUCAUUGGCAGGAAUUGGGUUAUUUAUUAAUCUAUAUAACCGGUAGACCGGAUAUGCAACAGCAACGUGUUGUUUCCUGGCUGAGUCAGCAUAAUUUUCCUCAUGGUCUCAUAUCAUUUGCCGAUGGUCUUUCCACUGAUCCGUUGGGUCAUAAAACCGCUUAUCUAAAUAAUCUGGUGCAAAAUCAUGGAAUCUCAAUAAUGGCCGCUUAUGGUAGCAGUAAAGAUAUUAGUGUUUAUACCAAUGUGGGCCUAAGAUCAGAUCAGAUAUUUAUAGUGGGAAAGGUUAGCAAAAAAUUGCAAACCAAUGCCACAGUAUUAAAUGAUGGUUAUGCUGCUCAUUUAUCGGCCUUGCAAGCUGUGGGCGGUUCUCGACCCGCCAAAGGCAAUGCUCGUAUGGUUAUACCACGCGGUUGUUUCAAUUUACCGGGUCAAACUACUAAUCCUCGACGUAGGAGCAACGAGACCGGUCUAUCUUCGCCAAUACGCAGUGGCUACUUAAAACGUAAAACCUAUUUUAGUCACCAAUAAAACUGAAACUGAAAAAACCUAACGAUCCAAAGUCAUCAAAAAAGAACAAGAUCCUGUUGACGGGAAUAUAUCACCAUGUCACCAACAACAGCCAACCACCAUAUUCAUUUUGUUAGAUGAUAUUAAAAAAACAGUUAUAACUUAAUAGUUGUUAUAACAAACAAAAAAAUAUAAUACCAGUUCCAUUAGUUAAAAUAAUGCAGUUUAGAGAGACGUUAACUAUUAGAGAGACGUUUGUUCCAUUAACUAAAGCAUGCCUACUUACUAUACACAUCAAAAUAGCUGAGAUAUCAUUGCAAUUUAUUCAAUUACAAAAUAAAACAAAAAUCAAAAACUACUAUAAUUUACUCGUAUUUAACCAGAAUUAACUAAAAAUAUCAAAAAAGAAAAAUGCAAAAAAAAAACAAAUUCAACAAUUCGUUUACAUUAAAAAAUGCAAAAGAAUAUAGCUGGAGAAAUCAUACAUCAUUCCAAUUAAACAAAAUUGCGAAAUAAUUAAUACUUUAAUAAUAAUUGUUAUUGUUCAAUUAAAACUAUAAGAACAAUUAAGAAAAUAAAGACAUCGUCUAACAUUGUCACGCAGUACCUGGCUAGAAAGACUGUUUCCUCCUGUUGUUUGAUGGUAUUACAAACUACAUAAAAAAACUCAAACAGAAACCGAAACAAAUACUAAGUAAUCAGAUUAAAAAACAAAACAAUACAUGCU